GCGAACGCUGGCGGCGUGCUUAACACAUGCAAGUCGAACGGAAAGGCCCCUUUGGGGGUACUCGAGUGGCGAACGGGUGAGUAACACGUGAGUAACCUGCCCUUGACUUCGGGAUAACUUCAGGAAACUGGGGCUAAUACCGGAUAGGAAUCCUUGCUGCAUGGUGGGGGUUGGAAAGCUUCGGCGGUUUUGGAUGGACUCGCGGCUUAUCAGCUUGUUGGUGGGGUAGUGGCUUACCAAGGCUUUGACGGGUAGCCGGCCUGAGAGGGCGACCGGCCACAUUGGGACUGAGAUACGGCCCAGACUCCUACGGGAGGCAGCAGUGGGGAAUAUUGCACAAUGGGCGGAAGCCUGAUGCAGCAACGCCGCGUGCGGGAUGACGGCCUUCGGGUUGGAAACCGCGUUCAGCAGGGGCGAAGCUUGUGGUGACGGUACCUGCAGAAGAAGCACCGGCUAACUACGUG
rnacentral:rRNA from 1 species